GACGAACGCUGGCGGCGUGCUUAACACAUGCAAGUCGAACGGAAAGGCGCUGCGCUUGUGGGGUUCUCGAGUGGCGAAAGGGGGAGUAACACGUGAGGAACCUGCCCUUGACUGUGGGAUAACUUCAGGAAACUGGGGCGAAUACCGGAGAGAAGCUUCUGAUGCAUGGGGGGGGUUGGAAAGUGUCGGCGGUGGGGGAUGGACUCGCGGCUUAUCAGCUUGUUGGUGAGGUAGUGGCUUACCAGGGCUUUGACGGGUAGCCUGCCUGGGAGGGUGACCGGCCACAUUGGGACUGAGAUACGGCCCAGACUCCUACGGGAGGCAGCAGUGGGGAAUAUUGCACAAUGGGCGGAAGCCUGAUGCAGCAACGCCGCGUGCGGAAUGACGGCCUUCGGGUUGUAAACCGAUUUCGCAUGUGCCGAAGCGUGCGUGACGGUAAUGGGUAAAGAAGCACCGGCUAACUACGUG
rnacentral:rRNA from 1 species